rnacentral:lncRNA from 1 species
CAGAUCUCAGAUUCUCACACUUCACAAUGCACCAUCACCUCCGUCCGGCAAUGAUGCCGGUGCUCGCGGCGGCGGUCCUCCUCCUCGCAACCCUCUCCCAAGCGCACAACAUCACGCGCAUCCUCGCGCAGCACCCGGAGUUCUCCACCUUCAACCACUACCUCACCCUCACGCAUCUCGCCCCCGAAAUCAACGGAAGAACCACCAUCACCGUCUGUGCCGUCGACAACGCCGCCAUGGACGAACUCCUCUCCAAGCACCCUUCCAUCUACACCAUCAAAAACAUCCUCUCCCUCCAUGUCCUCCUCGACUACUUCGGUGCCAAGAAGCUCCACCAGAUCACAAACGGCACAGCCCUCGCCGCCACCAUGUACCAGGCCACCGGCACUGCCCCGGGCUCCGCUGGCUUCGUCAACAUCACCGAC